GAACGCUGGCGGCAGGCCUAACACAUGCAAGUCGAGCGGUAGCACAGAGAGCUUGCUCUCGGGUGACGAGCGGCGGACGGGUGAGUAAUGUCUGGGAAACUGCCUGAUGGAGGGGGAUAACUACUGGAAACGGUAGCUAAUACCGCAUAACGUCGCAAGACCAAAGUGGGGGACCUUCGGGCCUCAUGCCAUCAGAUGUGCCCAGAUGGGAUUAGCUAGUAGGUGGGGUAACGGCUCACCUAGGCGACGAUCCCUAGCUGGUCUGAGAGGAUGACCAGCCACACUGGAACUGAGACACGGUCCAGACUCCUACGGGAGGCAGCAGUGGGGAAUAUUGCACAAUGGGCGCAAGCCUGAUGCAGCCAUGCCGCGUGUGUGAAGAAGGCCUUCGGGUUGUAAAGCACUUUCAGCGGGGAGGAAGGCGUUAAGGUUAAUAACCUUGGCGAUUGACGUUACCCGCAGAAGAAGCACCGGCUAACUCCGUGCCAGCAGCCGCGGUAAUACGGAGGGUGCAAGCGUUAAUCGGAAUUACUGGGCGUAAAGCGCACGCAGGCGGUCUGUCAAGUCGGAUGUGAAAUCCCCGGGCUCAACCUGGGAACUGCAUUCGAAACUGGCAGGCUAGAGUCUUGUAGAGGGGGGUAGAAUUCCAGGUGUAGCGGUGAAAUGCGUAGAGAUCUGGAGGAAUACCGGUGGCGAAGGCGGCCCCCUGGACAAAGACUGACGCUCAGGUGCGAAAGCGUGGGGAGCAAACAGGAUUAGAUACCCUGGUAGUCCACGCCGUAAACGAUGUCGAUUUGGAGGUUGUGCCCUUGAGGCGUGGCUUCCGGAGCUAACGCGUUAAAUCGACCGCCUGGGGAGUACGGCCGCAAGGUUAAAACUCAAAUGAAUUGACGGGGGCCCGCACAAGCGGUGGAGCAUGUGGUUUAAUUCGAUGCAACGCGAAGAACCUUACCUGGUCUUGACAUCCACAGAACUUUCCAGAGAUGGAUUGGUGCCUUCGGGAACUGUGAGACAGGUGCUGCAUGGCUGUCGUCAGCUCGUGUUGUGAAAUGUUGGGUUAAGUCCCGCAACGAGCGCAACCCUUAUCCUUUGUUGCCAGCGGUUCGGCCGGGAACUCAAAGGAGACUGCCAGUGAUAAACUGGAGGAAGGUGGGGAUGACGUCAAGUCAUCAUGGCCCUUACGACCAGGGCUACACACGUGCUACAAUGGCAUAUACAAAGAGAAGCGACCUCGCGAGAGCAAGCGGACCUCAUAAAGUAUGUCGUAGUCCGGAUUGGGGUCUGCAACUCGACUCCAUGAAGUCGGAAUCGCUAGUAAUCGUAGAUCAGAAUGCUACGGUGAAUACGUUCCCGGGCCUUGUACACACCGCCCGUCACACCAUGGGGGUGGGUUGCAAAAGAAGUAGGUAGCUUAACCUUCGGGAGGGCGCUUACCACUUUGUGAUUCAUGACUGGG
rnacentral:rRNA from 1 species